rnacentral:rRNA from 1 species
UACGGGGGGGGCAAGCGUUGUUCGGAAUUACUGGGCGUAAAGGGCGCGUAGGCGGCCUGCUAAGUCGGACGUGAAAUCCCUCGGCUCAACCGGGGAACUGCGUCCGAUACUGGUGGGCUCGAAUCCGGGAGAGGGAUGUGGAAUUCCAGGUGUAGCGGUGAAAUGCGUAGAUAUCUGGAGGAACACCGGUGGCGAAGGCGGCAUCCUGGACCGGUAUUGACGCUGAUGCGCGAAAGCCAGGGGAGCAAACGGG